GAUGACUGCGCUGGCGAUGAAGGUGGAGACUGCUCCCGGUCUGAACCCCGGUCAGCUGACCCUGAGCGACCCCGCCUGUGGUCCCACCUACAGUGACGAUCGCUUCGCCUACUUCCACUUCACUGUGAACUCCUGUGGCACCACCAGGAAGUUUAUCAACAAUUCAUGCUGUAUGAGAACGAAAUCUCCUUGCCAGAUGAACUUGAGGUGAAGCUGAAUGCCACGACGUCUUCAGAGGAGGAAUAUCAGUUAAAGAUUUCCUGCUACUAUGUGGUCAACAUCACUCGCACAUUGGCCUUCCUGACCAGGCCGCGUGACAACGAGCCUUUUGCAGAGAC